UAACACGUGGAUAACCUACCUAUAAGACUGGGAUAACUUCGGGAAACCGGAGCUAAUACCGGAUAAUAUUUUGAACCGCAUGGUUCAAAAGUGAAAGACGGUCUUGCUGUCACUUAUAGAUGGAUCCGCGCUGCAUUAGCUAGUUGGUAAGGUAACGGCUUACCAAGGCAACGAUGCAUAGCCGACCUGAGAUGGUGAUCGGCCACACUGGAACUGAGACACUGUCCAG
rnacentral:rRNA from 1 species